AGUGAACGCUGGCGGUAGGCCUAACACAUGCAAGUCGAACGGCAGCACAGGAGAGCUUGCUCUCUGGGUGGCGAGUGGCGGACGGGUGAGGAAUACAUCGGAAUCUACUCUGUCGUGGGGGAUAACGUAGGGAAACUUACGCUAAUACCGCAUACGACCUACGGGUGAAAGCAGGGGACCUUCGGGCCUUGCGCGAUUGAAUGAGCCGAUGUCGGAUUAGCUAGUUGGCGGGGUAAAGGCCCACCAAGGCGACGAUCCGUCGCUGGUCUGAGAGGAGGGUCGGGCAAGCUGGAGGGGAGACACGGUCCAGGCUCCUACGGGGGGCAGCAGUGGGGAAUAUUGGACAAUGGGCGGAAGCCUGCUCCAGCCAUUCCGCGUGGGUGAAGAAGGCCUUGGGGUUGUAAAGCCCUUUUGUUGGGAAAGAAAUCCAGCUGGCUAAUACCCGGUUGAGAUGACGGUACCCAAAGAAUAAGCACCGGCUAACUUCGUGCCAGCCGCCGCCGUAA
rnacentral:rRNA from 1 species